rnacentral:rRNA from 1 species
UCNNNNNNNNNNNNNNNNNNNNGACGAAAAAUGAAUACCAAGUCUCAAGAGUGAACACGUAAUUCAUUACGAAGUUUAAUUCAUUGAGCAUCAAACUUUUAAAUUGAAGAGUUUGAUCAUGGCUCAGAUUGAACGCUGGCGGCAGGCCUAACACAUGCAAGUCGAACGGUAACAGGAAGCAGCUUGCUGCUUUGCUGACGAGUGGCGGACGGGUGAGUAAUGUCUGGGAAACUGCCUGAUGGAGGGGGAUAACUACUGGAAACGGUGGCUAAUACCGCAUAACGUCGCAAGACCAAAGAGGGGGACCUUCGGGCCUCUUGCCAUCAGAUGUGCCCAGAUGGGAUUAGCUUGUUGGUGAGGUAACGGCUCACCAAGGCGACGAUCCCUAGCUGGUCUGAGAGGAUGACCAGCCACACUGGAACUGAGACACGGUCCAGACUCCUACGGGAGGCAGCAGUGGGGAAUAUUGCACAAUGGGCGCAAGCCUGAUGCAGCCAUGCCGCGUGUAUGAAGAAGGCCUUCGGGUUGUAAAGUACUUUCAGCGGGGAGGAAGGUGUUGUGGUUAAUAACCGCAGCAAUUGACGUUACCCGCAGAAGAAGC